GCAGUGGGGAAUAUUGGGCAAUGGACGAAAGUCUGACCCAGCGACGCCGCGUGAGGGAUGAAGGCCUUCGGGUUGUAAACCUCUUUCAGCAGGGAAGAAGCGAAAGUGACGGUACCUGCAGAAGAAGCACCGGCUAACUAUGUGCCAGCAGCCGCGGUAAUACAUAGGGUGCAAGCGUUGUCCGGAAUUAUUGGGCGUAAAGAGCUCGUAGGUGGUUAGUUACGUCGGAUGUGAAAAUCUAGGGCUCAACCCUAGACCUGCAUCCGAUACGGGCUAGCUUGAGUUUGGUAGGGGAGACUGGAAUUCCUGGUGUAGCGGUGGAAUGCGCAGAUAUCAGGAGGAACACCAAUGGCGAAGGCAGGUCUCUGGGCCAAUACUGACACUGAGGAGCGAAAGUGUGGGGAGCGAA
rnacentral:rRNA from 1 species